AUUGAACGCUGGCGGCAUGCUUUACACAUGCAAGUCGAACGGUAACAGGCCUUCGGGUGCUGACGAGUGGCGAACGGGUGAGUAAUGCAUCGGAACGUACCCAGAGGUGGGGGAUAACGCAGCGAAAGCUGUGCUAAUACCGCAUGUGAUCUGAGGAUGAAAGCGGGGGACCGAGCAGCAAUGUUUGGCCUCGCGCCUUUGGAGCGGCCGAUGUCGGAUUAGCUAGUUGGUGGGGUAAAGGCCUACCAAGGCGACGAUCCGUAGCUGGUCUGAGAGGACGACCAGCCACACUGGGACUGAGACACGGCCCAGACACCUACGGGAGGCAGCAGUGGGGAAUUUUGGACGAUGCGCGCAAGCCUGAUCCAGCAAUGCCGCGUGCGGGAAGAAGGCCUUCGGGUUGUAGAACGCUUUUGGCAGGAACGAAACGGUGUCCGCUAAUACCGGGCGCUAAUGACGGUACCUGCAGAAUAAGCACCGGCUAACUACGUG
rnacentral:rRNA from 1 species